AGAGUUUGAUCCUGGCUCAGAAUCAACGCUGGCGGCGCGCCUAACACAUGCAAGUCGCACGAGAAAGCGGGAGCAAUCUCGCAAGUACAGUGGCGUACGGGUGAGUAACACGUGGGUAAUCUACCCUUUAGUGGGGAAUAACGCUGGGAAACCGGCGCUAAUACCGCAUAAGCUCGAGAGAGGAAAGCAGCAAUGCGCUGAAGGAGGAGCCCGCGGCCGAUUAGCCAGUUGGUGAGGUAACGGCCCACCAAAGCGAAGAUCGGUAGCCGGCCUGAGAGGGCACACGGCCACACUGGCACUGAGACACGGGCCAGACUCCUACGGGAGGCAGCAGUGGGGAAUCUUGCACAAUGGGGGAAACCCUGAUGCAGCGACGCCGCGUGAGCGAUGAAGCCCUUCGGGGUGUAAAGCUCUUUCGGCAGGGACGAUAAAUGACGUACCUGCAGAAGCAGCCGG
rnacentral:rRNA from 1 species